rfam:Talaromyces stipitatus ATCC 10500 scf_1105507295541 genomic scaffold, whole genome shotgun sequence.
GGCGGGAUGGCCGAGUGGUUAUGGCGCAGCGCUUGAAUAUCGUGAUUUUUCUCUUCGAGACAUUUUUACCUACUGUUUAUACGCUGUAUCUUCGGAUUCCUGGGUUCGAUCCCCAGUCCCGUCG